ACCCCAUCCCCCUGAGCCCUGCUUGCCCCUCUGCGCCUUCUGGCAGUGGCUUAGUCACCCCCUACUCAAGUCAUCGUUGCUCUCAGCACCAGUCAGCAGAGGUUAGAUGCCCACCAACUGUGUGCUGGGUGGCCCCUGGCAGUGGGCCAGAAGUGCAGCAGGCCUGGUGCUGGCCUGAUAGGGGAGUGGGGUGGGGAUCCUUGCACAGACACCCUCAUCGCAACCCCCCAACACACACACACACGCACACACACCAGCAUGCCAGGCCCUAAAGAUGGGACAGAACCCAGCUGACAGGAGAGAAGACCUAAGGAUGGGGCUUGAGAAGGUGGUCUCGUUACCCUGGGCAGCCACGGGAUGGGGACUAACAUCCCUCCUGGCUCCUGGGUACCCUUGGAUGAGCCUCACCCUCCUAUCCAUCAAGCAAAGGUCAUAAUCCCUGUUCACCUCAUCUCUCAGGGUUGCAGCGAUGAUCAGACUAGAUGUGCCCAUGGAAACCCUCGGUGGACUUUAUAAUCUACAAAAUGAAAGAUGAGGAAGCCGAGGCCUAGGAGUUGGAAUGACUUGCCCGAAGAGCACAGCAGAGGCUUGCAAAGGCAUCUCUGGGCCUUCCUCCUCAUCCUGCAUGCAGGCCUGGGCCCCUGUGUCCCCGUGAAGAGCUUGAUAAUCAGCCCCGUGCAGCCCAGUAACCAAGAGGCCUGAACUCUUCGGGGAUCCCAGCAGAGGAAGGGGUGCCCUCAGGCAGCUCCGCCAGACUGCCCUGCCCAGCCAGCAGCAGGCCGUCCAAGGAGAACUGGGAGAGAAGUUGGGAGAAGGCCAGCUGCUAACUGUGGAAAAUAAAUCGGGGACCUCUAACCACACAGCUGAAGAAGGGCCAGCGGCACGUAGACGUGUUUCCUUUUGUGCUCUUGCUCACCAACUGUAAUUGUUAAUUGAAAGCCACGAGUUAUAUAAGUUAUGCGGAUACCAAAGAAGGAAUCGACUCAGUGCUUGAAAAGAACCCAGCUGCUGAGUGGUUUUCAGGAUGAAGAAGGGUUUCUGAAAAGCAGGUGGCUGAGGAGGGCAGCCGCCCCAAAGAGGGCAACCAGGACAAACUGUCUCCCAGCGACAGCUCUCUGGAUCUGCAGACAUGUCGUUCCUGGGGUUUUAG
rnacentral:lncRNA from 1 species